GAAACGGGGGCGCGGCCUGGCUCGUGCCCGGGGGCCGGUGGGGAGAGCGGCGAGAAGGCGCUGGCCGGGAGCCCGAGCGCCGAGAGCCUGGUGCGCCGACUUCUGCUUGCUUUCCCCGGGCCAGCGGCAGAAGAGCCGUGGGACCAGUGUUUAGCCCUGUAGGAGUAAAGGGAAGAAGGAUGACUGCUGGGGCGAGCCGGAGACCGCGGUUUUGGAGCCGUAUGGGCAUGCAAAGGACUCGGAUGUCGUAUGUGUAUUUUUUUUUUCUUGAGUUAUUCUUUUUUUGUUCCCAACUUUGGAGUUGGGUCUGACCUCCCGGGGAGCAUGGACUGAGCCGAGGGGGGGCAGCAGAACCCGGAAGCCGCCCUGGCCCCACCUCGUGCGCACUCUCACAUCCGUACCCACCGGUGUGCACACGCUCGAGGCCAGUCAGUGUGGACCCCGACCCGCGCCGAGCCGCAUGGAGGCGGGAGCCGCCACUCGGACAGGAAUAAGAAAGGAGGGCGCGGGCCCUAGUAGGGGUCUCGGAGAGCAAGUGGCUCUGGAUGCGGAGCGUCGGCGGAGGCCUGGCCUGGGGAAGGAUGCUGUUGGGGGGGGGGGGCGCAAACCAGCGCGAGGAGCACCGCCUAAUCCAGCCGGAGCUCGUGGGCCGCGGGUGCAUUUAUCAUCCCAUUACUGUAACAAAUCCGGGCUCCACUACAUGAAAGUUAAGGAUGGCGGUCCCGGCUAGAUGCUCGCUGGAGCUCCGUGAUAACACCCUCUCGGAGGCCUCAGUUGCCUGAGUUUUUCUACGCGUCACCAUAUAGUCGGAUCCCGGCCCUCCAAAAAGGCUUGGUAGGCAAACCAAACCCCGCCGAUGUUCAGCGCUUCACCUUCCCCUACCCUGUCCCUGGCAGUGGAAAAACUUCGGGGUGCCUCGACAAGGAAACAGCGAAAAAGAGCCCAGCGACUGGAGACAGAUCUCCGUGAGCGUGGGAGCGGCUGGAGCCCCUGCAGUUCCUCCCUCCCCCCCAAAACCUGAUAAGAAAAUUCAGGGCUACAGUGAGAGGCCUUCAAGGACUGGGGUACAAUCCCAGGAAAAUCUGGGCUACUGGGGGAAAUUCGCUGUCCAGCUGGCUAGGGCAUAUACCGAGAGUGCAGUACUUUUAUCCGCUAGAUUUCACUUCGCGUGGAAAUCGAAAACGGAGGUUUCCCUGAGCUCAAAAGCCAGGGCCUCGCGGGUAUCCGCACCCUGACUUACUUGGCUCAGGACAGCUAUAAGAUGCCCGGACCGCUCGACUCUGGCGGCCAGGAAAGGACUCUCUCGCGCCCUCUGGACCUGGCUUAAUGGCGGCAGGACAGCUCCUACGGGUUGUCAAAGGUCCCGCCAGGGACGGGCAUGGGUACGGAAACCCCGGGAAGGGCACGCAGUGCAGCCGGCCAACAUGCACUACAAACCUACAGACCU
ensembl:lncRNA